rnacentral:misc_RNA from 1 species
UUCGUUUCGGUUCGGUUUGUCUUUUGGGGUUCUUCUCGCCUUCGAAAGCGCCGUCCUUCUUCAGUGUUUUCACAUUUUCACGUACAGUUCAAUCGUGAGGUUCAGCCUAGUGAGUUCUGUGUAGUUAAGUCGGAAUAUUUCGUAUAGUUCUCGUCGACUGUCGUCUGACAUUUGUUCUUCUAUUCCGAAACGCUGCAUUGAAAUACAAAAAUAAUACAAACUAGAAUAUUCAACAAAACAAAAAACCAAGGAAACGAAAAACCAAUUAAAAUUUUAACAAAAUAAUAACUCGCUUCAAAAUAUAUUGCAAAUAUAUCAACAAAUUUAAUCAAAUCAAAUUCACCAACAAAUCGAAAACAAACUCUAUUAAUUCGUUUACUCAAAAAUCCAAAAACACAAAACAACCAAAAACCGAUUCAAAUAUAUAACUGUUAAAUCUAAACGAGCAGGCGAUCUACUGGGAAGCGAGAGAGGAAGGGCAUCAGCAGCAGCACUACUACACGCGUGUGUGUUUAAAUACUGGAAAAUACAGAUAAGAUAAAUUAUUAUAGACACUCACGAGUACAUUUAGAGCAGACCAAACCCAGAGACAGACAACCGCAGAGAAUCAAAAGCACUCCAAGAGCAAAUCAAUAAAACAAAAACAAAACCCAAACAACAACAAAAAAAACAACAACAGAAACAACAGAAACAAAGAGAAAAAGCAACUCAAAAAACAAAAUUUUAAAAAAAGUGUUACCAAAAAAAACUUAAAAAAAAAAGAAAAUUAUUUAAAAGACAAAACCCGUACUCGUAACGGUGCAGACAACUGAAAAUACCCAGUGAAAAUUCAGAAAAGCGUUGACCAUUUUUUCUCGCAAAGGCGCCACGUCCAAGAGCAAAUCGUUCCAUAUGGUUCAUAUUAUUGAAUUGGUCGGCCAGCCGAAGGUUGAGUUUGCUCAACAAGUUACUAUGAACCGUGCUUUACAGCUGAAGCCAGCUGAAAAUGAAAGUCGCAGCGGUAAGUGCACAAGGCUUCAUCCUUACAACAGAACACGUGAUCCACGUGGCGGCUGCGCAUUCGUCAAAUUCGGAACGCAACAGGAGGCUCAGUCAGCAAUAGCCAAUCUACACGGAAGUCAAACUAUGCCGGGUGCAUCCUCCAGCCUGGUCGUCAAAUACGCCGACACAGAGAAGGAACGACAAAUCAGGCGCAUGCAACAAAUGGCCGGUCAUAUGAACCUGCUGAAUCCGUUUGUCUUUAAUCAGUUCAGCCCGUACGGCGCCUACGCUCAGCAACAGCAGCAAGCCGCUCUGAUGGCUGCCGCUGCCACCGCGCCUGGCUCGGCAGCCGCCUACAUGAACCCCAUGGCCGCCCUGGCAACGCAAAUACCUCAUGGCUUGAACGGCACCGGACAGCCGCCCUCUUUGCCCUCGCCGACCAUGCCCAACUUCAGCAUGGGCGCCAACACGCCCAACGGCCAGCCCGGUGGAGCUGCCGCGGCUGCAGCAGCUGCUGCGGCGGACGGGGUCUUCACGAACGGCAUUCCACAAACGGCAUUCCCAGGACAUCCGCUGCAUUUGACUAUACCACCACAAGGUCUGCCAAACGGCGAUGCUGCUACUCUGCAACAUGCCUUCCCUGGGCUGCCACCGUUUCCAGGAGUUGAUUUUCUGAUGUUCCCAGGAUGCUCGAUAUCCGGUCCAGAGGGCUGCAAUCUCUUCAUCUACCAUUUGCCCCAAGAGUUUGGCGAUGCGGAGUUAAUGCAAAUGUUCCUGCCCUUUGGCAAUGUGAUCAGCUCCAAGGUCUUCAUCGAUCGUGCUACAAACCAGAGCAAAUGCUUCGGUUUCGUGUCCUUCGAUAAUCCAGCCAGCGCUCAAGCGGCCAUUCAGGCCAUGAAUGGCUUCCAGAUUGGCAUGAAAAGACUGAAAGUUCAAUUGAAGCGGCCAAAGGAUGCCAGUCGACCCUAUUAACAAUCGGAGUUCCUUAAGUGUAAUUCGCAACAACUACAACUACUUCCUGGAGCACCAACAACAGGAGUAGUCGCAGGAGCAGCCAUGCCACAAACUACAACACAAUUUGCAACAGCAGCAGCAGCAGCAGCAACAGCAUCCACAGCAACAGCAACAGCCACAGCAACAACCACAGUGCACCACUAUAGUCACAGAAGCAGCUUUAGGCCACCAUUUCCCAAUGACAACUCCACUCAUAUGCCGGUAUCAAUUCGCCAGCUGGCGCGAAAUGGUGACCUACUGCUAUCGCUAUAUAGUACCCCGCCAGAAACACUUCCUCCCCAGCCCCAAAAAGCAACCAACAACAGCAACAUCAGCAAGGACAACAACAACAGCACCAACCAACAACAACAGCACCAACAAACACCCACCAGCAGCACCACACCAAACAACAAUAGCAAGCACUGCAGGCAGCAGAAUGGACCGAUUCCCAUCCACAUCCAACUCAACCGGACAUGGCAUCCAAUAGCAACCAGAAGGAACUAUCCAAAGUGGAAUAAGUCGAAAAACUGUUCAAGUGGCAGCAACAAAAGCGAAAGACCUAAAGCCACCAGGACCCCACAAACAGCAACCAUGACAACUGCGACAACAAUAACGAGCGACUACUGAAAGGAUGGUCUUCACCAUGCUAAGUGAAAUGAUUAUAAAAAUUAAACACAUGCAAAAUCGGUGUGUAAAAAAACCUAAAAUAAUAGUAAACAACCAAA